rnacentral:sRNA from 1 species
GAAUGGUCAUUUCUCCAUCUACUUCCGUCUUUUUUUUCUGGCUUCCAAAACAUUAAGUGUUUAAGUUUUAUCUCUACUUUUAUUGUUUUCUCUAAAAUUUAAAUACAUUUUUGAAAUAUUAAACACAAUUGAGGAUUCCCUGAUAGACAGGGGAUUUUGAUAUAUGGAGUAUCUGAGUGCUUAUGAAAGUCGAUAUGACGAGGCGUGUUAUUGGCACCAAUAGCCGCCGCGUUCCCGUGAUACCGAGUGCGAAGAAUUACAGUGAGAGAGAGGGUGGACCGCACCGGUUCUUGCCACAAUACUGGGUUAUACACGAUAUGACAAGGAAACUAUCAUGUGAUCAUACUACUAUCAAUGUGGCAGAGCGAAGAAACAGGAAAAUGUAGCACUAACAGGAACUGUUGGCAAAUUGAAUCAUCCACUUUGUUCUUCAAUGGAAAGUUCGUAGGAAAUCGCAACUAGAGGGGAACAAUCAUUUUACAUUCUGCUGGCCAUUUGUGACGAUAUUCAGUGGAAAUAAUGAUCGUACUAUGAGAAAAUUCAACACGAAUAUAAUAAUGAAAACAGUUGCCUUAUUGCUUGGAGAUUAACUAUGUUGUUGUUGCAGCCACAUUUGCUUGUGGAGGUGACGAUCCUCGUCAAGCUCUUAUAGGCAAGCAAGCUCGUUUCGGUCUAUACGACCUAUCGACGCGGGAACAUGAUGUCCAUUGGUUAUUUAAAGGAGCCAAUAACACACCUUUUGGUAUCGAACACCAUAGGACUCAGACGGACUAAUUGUCCGCAACUGCCGUUGCAGCUACUGCAUAUGGAGCAUUCGACUAUCCGCAACCUGUGGAGGGGCCCGGUAGC